rnacentral:rRNA from 1 species
CCUACGGGUGGCAGCAGUGAGGAAUAUUGGUCAAUGGGCGAGAGCCUGAACCAGCCAAGUCGCGUGAAGGAUGACGGCCCUACGGGUUGUAAACUUCUUUUGUCAGGGAGCAAUUGAGUCCACGUGUGGGCUUAGCGAGAGUACCUGAAGAAAAAGCAUCGGCUAACUCCGUGCCAGCAGCCGCGGUAAUACGUAGGGGGCAAGCGUUAUCCGGAUUUACUGGGUGUAAAGGGGGCGUAGACGGCAGCGCAAGUCUGGAAUGAAAUUCCAUGGCUUAACCAUGGAACUGCUUUGGAAACUGGGCACCUGGAGUGCAGGAGAGGUAAGCGGAAUUCGUAGUGUAGCGGUGAAAUGCGUAGAUAUUAGGAAGAACACCAGUGGCGAAGGCAGCUUACUGGACUGUAACUGACGUUGAGGCUCGAAAGCGUGGGGAGCAAACAGGAUUAGAUACCCUGGUAGUC